UGCAGUCGAACGGCAGCGCGGGGCAACCUGGCGGCGAGUGGCGAACGGGUGAGUAAUAUAUCGGAACGUACCCAAGAGUGGGGGAUAACGUAGCGAAAGUUACGCUAAUACCGCAUACGAUCUAUGGAUGAAAGUGGGGGAUCGCAAGACCUCAUGCUCCUGGAGCGGCCGAUAUCUGAUUAGCUAGUUGGUGAGGUAAAGGCUCACCAAGGCGACGAUCAGUAGCUGGUCUGAGAGGACGACCAGCCACACUGGGACUGAGACACGGCCCAGACUCCUACGGGAGGCAGCAGUGGGGAAUUUUGGACAAUGGGCGCAAGCCUGAUCCAGCAAUGCUGCGUGAGUGAAGAAGGCCUUCGGGUUGUAAAGCUCUUUUGUCAGGGAAGAAACGGUCGGGGCUAAUACCCCCGGCUAAUGACGGUACCUGAAGAAUAAGCACCGGCUAACUACGUGCCAGCAGCCGCGGUAAUACGUAGGGUGCAAGCGUUAAUCGGAAUUACUGGGCGUAAAGCGUGCGCAGGCGGUUUUGUAAGUCUGUCGUGAAAGCCCCGGGCUCAACCUGGGAAUUGCGAUGGAGACUGCAAGGCUUGAAUCUGGCAGAGGGGGGUAGAAUUCCACGUGUAGCAGUGAAAUGCGUAGAGAUGUGGAGGAACACCGAUGGCGAAGGCAGCCCCCUGGGUCAGAUUGACGCUCAUGCACGAAGCGUGGGAGCAACAGGAUAGAUACCUGGUAUCACGCCUAACGAGUCUACUAGUGUCGGUCUUAUGAC
rnacentral:rRNA from 1 species